rnacentral:piRNA from 1 species
UUCUUGGAAUCAAAUUGUGAG